GUCACGUAGCAUGGCCAUUUAAGAGGCUAAAAGGUGUGUGUGUGUGUGUGUGUGUGUGUGUGUGUAUACACACACACACACACACACACACACA
rnacentral:miRNA from 1 species